AGAUUUAUAGUCCUGUGAGUUCAACACUGCAGGACUCAGAUCUGUCAGUCAACACGGCAGAAACAACAACCACCAUGACUCUCAUCGCCAUCCUCAUCUGGACGCUGGCCUGCUGCUGUUUUACAGGAUGCAGCAGUCAGGUGACUGUGACUCAGCCUGCAGUAGUGACAUCUACUCCAGGAUCCACUGUCACUCUCACCUGUAAAACCAACCAAGCUGUUUACAGAUGGUCUAAUGGUGAUGAGGGUAUGUUCUGGUAUCAACAGAAAUCUGGACAGCCUCCAAAGCUCUUGAUAAGACAUGUCAGCAUAAGGCACUCGGGAACACCAGCUCGGUUUAGUGGCAGUGGAAGCAGCUCUGACUUCACUUUGACCAUCAGUGGAGUUCAGGCUGAAGAUGCAGCAGUUUAUUACUGUAAGAGUGUACACAGUAGUGGAGUGUUCACACAGUGAUUUGUAGUCAUACAAAAACCUCCCUCAGUCAGACUGCAGAGACACUGAGCUGUUACAGCAGGAACCGACUGCAGCUGCUGAAGAGGAAGAGACUCUGACGCAGACCACUGAACACAGAGCUGACAGUAACCUCACCAAGCACAAACUACAUAUUAACACUAACAUGUUGAUUUUAUUUCAAGGUUUUUACUGUCACGUGUUUCAAUGCAGUGUACACAGCAAUGAGACAAAUGUGAAGUU